GACGAACGCUGGCGGCGCGCCUAACACAUGCAAGUCGAACGGAGCUGAGAGAAGCUUGCUUUUCUUAGCUUAGUGGCGAACGGGUGAGUAACGCGUGAGUAACCUGCCCUGGAGUGGGGGACAAAAGUUGGAAACGACUGCUAAUACCGCAUAAGCCCACGAUCCGGCAUCGGAUUGAGGGAAAAGGAUUUAUUCGCUUCAGGAUGGACUCGCGUCCAAUUAGCUAGUUGGUGAGGUAACGGCCCACCAAGGCGACGAUUGGUAGCCGGACUGAGAGGUUGAACGGCCACAUUGGGGCUGAGACACGGCCCAGACUCCUACGGGAGGCAGCAGUGGGGGAUAUUGCACAAUGGGGGAAACCCUGAUGCAGCGACGCCGCGUGGAGGAAGAAGGUUUUCGGAUUGUAAACUCCUGUCGUUAGGGACGAUAAUGACGGUACCUAACAAGAAAGCACCGGCUAACUACGUG
rnacentral:rRNA from 1 species